rnacentral:misc_RNA from 1 species
AAAUUUUUGCAAUUAACUGUUUUACAGAAAAAAGUAUCAGUUUACAAAAACCAAACGAGAUCAAUUGUAUCUUAUUUUCCGUAAGACUAAUUAACCAUAGAAUACGCUCUUUAUAACUAAAAUUGAUAAAGCAGCACAAUAAGUUGUACCUUAUCUCCAUCCCAUUGUUUUAUGAGGUUGCUGUUGGGCAUGUGAAUUUCCACAAGAUUUUUGGGGCAAAAAUUUAAUGGCAAAGAUUUCAAAGGAUAAUAAUCUCAAUAAAGAUAUCUUAGUCCUUGUAGAACAGAUAUCUUAGUCCUUGUAGAACAAAUUCAAGAUUGCUAAGAAGGAGCACUUGUUUUGUUGCACACCUAUUCCUGACUUUGAGGAAUCUAAGAUUGCACAUCUUCAUGAAGGUUGUGGAACUUAGCUCCAAAUUAUCCUUCCCCUCAUUCAUCUUAAGUAAUAUGCCUUCAACAUUUUCA